UAGGGUUUGAUUAUGGCUCAGGACGAACGCUGGCGGCGGGCCUAACACAUGCAAGUCGAACGCACUCGACCUUCGGGUCAUAUGAGUGAGUGGCGAACGGGUGAGUAACACGUGAGAAACCUGUCCCGAAGACUGGAAUAACCCGAGGAAACUCGGGCUAAUACCGGAUAUCCCCACCGGAUCACAUGGUCUGGUGAGGAAAUGCUCCGGCGCUUCGGGAGGGUCUCGCGGCCUAUCAGUUAGUUGGUGAGGUAACGGCUCACCAAGGCAUCGACGGGUAGCUGGUCUGAGAGGACGAUCAGCCACACUGGGACUGAGACACGGCCCAGACUCCUACGGGAGGCAGCAGUGGGGAAUCUUGCGCAAUGGGCGAAAGCCUGACGCAGCCACGCCGUGUGAGGGAUGAAGGCUUUCGGGUUGUAAACCUCUUUCAGCAGGGACGAAAAUGACGGUACCUGCAGAAGAAGCUCCGGCCAACUACGUGCCAGCAGCCGCGGUAACACGUAGGGAGCAAGCGUUGUCCGGAUUUAUUGGGCGUAAAGAGCUCGUAGGCGGUUCGGUAAGUCGGGUGUGAAAACUUGAGGCUCAACCUCAAGAGGCCACUCGAUACUGCUGUGACUGGAGUCCGGUAGAGGAGUGUGGAAUUCCUGGUGUAGCGGUGAAAUGCGCAGAUAUCA
rnacentral:rRNA from 1 species